UGGAGCGUUUGUAUGGUCUGUGCAGAGAGGAGAGAACAGGGAUAGACAGACACAUAGUUGACAGGCUAGAGAAGAGGCUACGCUAAUGCAGAGGAGAUUGGAAUGACAAGUGGACUACACGUCUCGAAUGUUCAGAAAGUUAAGCUUACGUAGCAAGAAUCUAAUUGACUAAAAUGAUUAAAAUGAUACAGUACUGCUGAGGUAGGCUAGCUGCGUUGUUGACACAACCCUAAUCAAGUCGUUCCGUUGAGUGUGAAGUUUCUACAAUGCUGCUUUUCGGGGGCUAGCUGGCUAGCUAGCAGUGUUGGUUACGUUACGUUGCGUUAGGAGAACGACAAUAGCUGGCUAGCUAACCUAGAAAAUCGCUCUAGACUACACAAUUAUCUUUGAAACAAAGACGGCUAUGUAGCUAGCUACGAUCAAACAAAUCACACCGUUGGGACUGUAAUGAAAUUAAAUGAAAAUAUGAUACUACCUGUGGAGCGAAGCGGAAUGCGACCGGAAUGCGAAAGUUCUAUUCAGUAGACGUUGGCUGGCUAUUGGCUAGCUAGGAGUGUCUCCUACGUUAAGGACGACAAAAUAGCUGGCUAGCUAACCUCGGUAAAUUAAGAUAAUCACUCUAAGACUACACACUCUAACUACACAAUUAUCUUGGAUACGAAGACAGCAAAGACAACUAUGUAGCUAGCUAAUACUACACUAAUCAAGUCGUUCAGUUGAGUGUGAUAGUUACUACUGUACUUGUGCACGUGACUUUAAAACUUGAACCUGUUCACCCUGGUUGAUUCACAGAUGGAGCAGAGGCAGCUUUAUUGUAUGAUGAUAAAAGGAACAACUUGUUCCAGAGUUUCUCCCUUUAUAAAAUCAACACAACUGCAGAGAGAGACCAGCUACAGACCAGAUACAACAACCUGACUAAAGAGAGAGACCAGUUACAGACCAGAUACAACAACCUGACUGUAGAGAGUGACCAGCUACAGACCAGAUACAACAACCUGACUAAAGAGAGAGACCAGAUAAAGACCAGAUACAACAACAUGACUGUAGAGAGUGACCAGCUACAGACCAGAUACAACAACCUGACUAAAGAGAGAGACCAGCUAAAGACCAGAUACAACAACCUGACUAAAGAGAGAGACCAGUUACAGACCAUAUACAACAUCCUGACUAAAGAGAGAGACCAGAUACAGACCAGACACAACAACCUGACUAAAGAGAGAGACCAGUUACAGACCAGAUACAACAUCCUGACUAAAGAGAGAGACCAGCUACAGACCAGAUACAACAACCUGACUAAAGAGAGAGACCAGUUACUGACCAGAUAAAACAACCUGACUAAAGAGAGAGACCAGUUACAGACCAGAUACAACAACCUGACUAAAGAGAGAGACCAGCUACAGACCAGAUACAACAACCUGACUAGAGAGAGAGACCAGUUACAGACCAGAUACAACAACCUGACUAAAGAGAGAGACCAGCUCCAGACCAGAUACAACAACCUGACUAAAGAGAGAUCAGCUACAGACCAGAUACAACAUCCUGACUAAAGAGAAAGACCAGAUACAGACCAGACACAACAACCUGACUAAAGAGAGAGGCUAUCUUCAGGCAAAGCUUUUUGUGAUAGAGCUGCAUUUUCAAAAGGGAUGGAGAAACUUUGACUACAGUUGUACUUCCUCUCUACUAAGAAGAAAACCUGGGACGAGAGAGGAGCAGUCCUGGUGAUCAUAAACAGCAGAGAGGAACAGUGUGUUUCCGGUGUCCUGGAACGCACCCUGUCUGGUUGCCGGGCGAAUUAGCUUGUUGGGAGAUCGAUGUUCACCCGCACCUGUAUCCUAUCAGUAAUCUGCACACCUGUCCUGAUCAUCACCUCUCCCCUUCAAAAGCUCUGACCUGACAUCCAUUCCCUGCCGGAUCGUUAGCCAUGAACAGUAUGUUGUGCCAUAGUAUCAGCCUCAAGUUGGAUACAAUUUGUUUUGUUGUUUUUUUACGUAUUGCGUGCCUUAAACUUACCUCCGUUUGUUCUGUCUUCAUUUUCCUCACCCUGAUCAUUUACCCCAUUCCCGCCUGGUCGUCGUCGGAUUCCGCUACCCCAUUGGAUCCACCUAUUUACUCCCAUCAACUCACCACCGCUGCCCGCUACGCCACCUGGAUAUAUCUACCCAUUCACAUUCACUUGUAAAUAAA